CAGUUUGAUUCUGACUGAAAAAUUAACUAUAUACCAACCAACAUACAUGUAAAAUAUUUAAUCCCGCCACUAAAUUAUUUCUAAAUGAUAUAAUAAAUGUAUUUAAAUAUUCUCAAUACAACAGAGCGCCACAGUAGAUAACACUUUUCAAUUUGAGAAAUCAAGAAAAGAGUAUGGUAUAAGGGCUGGCAAAAUUCGUGCCAGCUGCCGCGGUUAGACGAUAAGCCCAAGUUAAUAUAAUAUAAACUAAUUAAUGAUAAAUUAAACAACAAUAAAAGUCUAAUUUUUAAAGUUUUUGACUCAUAUUUAUCAAAAAAUAAUGAAAUCAUGAACUAAAACAUGGAUUAGAUACCCAUUUAUUCAUGACAUAAAUAACGGUUGAAUAUUACGAACAACAGUUUAAAAUUCAAAGAUUUUGGCGGUGUCUUAUAAAACCAGGGGAACCUGUCUCAUAACUCGAUAAUCCACGUAUACUCAACCUUCCUUAGAUUUCAGCAUGUGUACUGCCGUUGUAAGCAUACCUUUAAAAGUAAGUAUGCUAUAAUGACUAAACACCACAUACAUCAGGUCAAAGUGCAGCUAAUAAGAAGGAGAUGAUGGGUUACAACCCUAAGUAAGAAAUCAACUAAGAAAUAAAAAAUCUUACGAAAGUGGACUUGGCUGUAAUUAAUUUACAAGUUAAAGAAAUGAACAAAACUCUAAGACAUGUACACAUCGCCCGUCACUCUAUCCUAAAGGUUAGAUAAGUCGUAACAAAGUAGGUGUAAUGGAAAUUGCACCUGU
rnacentral:ncRNA from 1 species